rnacentral:rRNA from 1 species
AUGAGGGGAAUGGAGAAAGAGGAGCAGUAUCGGGAAGGAGUUUUGGGCGAUGGGCAGCCGCGCCAGGCGACAUGCUCGCGGUGCCGCUUGGUGGCUGAGAUGAGGCUGCCGCAUGCUCUGUUCCGAUGGGCCUCCUCUGCUCGAUGGUUGCACUGGUUGAGUUUGGUACGGUUCCUGUUGUCGGCUGCGUCGAGCCUUGGGUCUUGUCUGUCCUUCGCAUUGAGGAUAAAUAGCACGGACAACAUAUCAGUGCUCUAUCUGUGUCUAAGGGCUCCAAGAGAUGCAGUCAUAGACAGUGACUGGUCCCUGAAGUUUGGGACGUUAAGGAUAAAAUCAAGCAGUUUUCAGAAACUUUUAGUUGUGGCUCAUGGGUUGGAGCAACUGGGAAACCAUUGA